AGAACCAGGUUCUGGUUUAGAACCAGGCUCUAUUUUAGAAUUAGGCUCUGUUUUGGAACCAGGCUCUGUUUUAGAACCAGGUUCUGGUUUAGAACCAGGUUCUGGUUUAGAACCAGGUUCUGUUUUGGAACCAGGUUCUGUUUAGAACUUGGUUCUGUUUAGAACUAGGUUCUGUUUUAGAACCAUGUUCUGUUUUAGAACGAGGUUCUGGUUUAGAACCAGGUUCUGUUUAGAACCAGGUUCUGUUUUAAACCAGGCUCUGUUUUGGAACCAGGCUCUGUUUUAAAACCAGGUUCUGUUUAGAACCAGGUUCUGUUUUAGAAGCAGGUUCUGCCAUGUCCUUCAGUCGUCUUGCACCCCCUCCAUGUUUUCCCUCCAAAGUGGCGCAGCUGGAAUCCUCCAGAGGAAGCGGACCUGAACACACUCGCUCAUUCACUGUUUAACUGCAGGCAGCUCACACUGUUAAUCAUUUCUUAGCUGAUAUGGAGACGUGUUAGCAAGGCUGAACUCUUUCCUCAUGUAGCAAAGCCAUGCACUCACUCACUUCUCUCUUAGAUUAGCCUUGGAUUCAGAGGAACAGUUCAGGUCAUGUUUCUGAGGAGGAAACACUGAAUAGAUCAUGUUAAACACUACGCUGUCCUCCAGAGUAUUUAACUAUCUGAGAUGAUUGGAUGCUCUCAUUAGUGACUCUACCUCGUUCCUUUAAAUUCUGGACUUGACUGUUACACUGUUCACUAUGACUGAAUAAAACUGACGUCCUAAAUUCCCGUGUUUUG